AGUGAGCUAUUUUUAACACUCAGUCAUGGACAGGGUGGCCUGGCCGGCCUGCACAUCCACUGAGUGUCCUAGCAUUUUCCUCUCCAUGCCAGAAGUGCUGCAGCAGCGUGAGCACUGUGCUACCGCUCAGUGUAGGAAGGGCACGCUUUCCACACUCACGUGCUGUGACACACACUGUUAGGCCGCCAGGGCUGGGGCGGAAGCACCAGAGCCACUCAGCAGCGAAGCUCUCUGCAGAUGGUGAGGAAGAGCAGGACGUCAACUCCCACGCCACGUCACGCACAAGGUGAACCCCAGGGGGAGGCCUCUGGCCCAGAGGUUAAGGUGCCAGAAACAACAACAUGAAGAUUAGUGCACUCACAAUGUGAUGCGUCUGCCUCUUGGGCCGCCCAGCUGGCCGGAGCAGAAAGGAAGAGACGUCCCUCCCCAGGUGAGCCCAGCAGGGAACCUAAGAAACUGCACAGCAUGCUGGGGAUAGAACUCUCCUUUGGGGAGCGGUCCCGGGGGCUGUACCUAGGAGAGCUCACCAGCGCAGGGACGCGGGUGGGUGUCCCACACUUAGAAGGCGGAGCCCCCUGGGGGCUGCCUCCUGUGCCCCCUACAAGCAGAAAACCGUGCUUUCAUUUAACAAUUAAAAGGCUCAUCGGGAGGUCCCUGCACUUGGCCAGCCCGGUCUCUUAGGUGACUAACAGCAGCGACUGUGUAUUUUGUUUCUGACUUUAACGAGGCCUGGAAGGGUGUGAGGAGAUUCCUGCUCUAAGUAGGCUCUAGGUUUUUAUACUGUAACCCUCAGGGUUUAAGCUUGAAAAGUUCAGCAGCUUAGUCAAGACUCCAGUAAAACUCAUGGCUCCCGGCAAACAUUUAAAGGUCUCGUGUGCUGUGUUUUAAAGGUUAGGGCGGGCGGAUGACCUGGAUUGACGUCUCCAUUUACAGUAAAAAAACACAAACCAUGAAGAGGCAAUGUCUCUUCCUUCUGUUCCCCCUCUGUGGCACCCCAGCUGUUGGGCUGUCCAGGGGUAUUUAGAGAAUGGUCAGCCCCUGGAACUCUAUGCUCGGCAAGCACAAGUCUCCCUUGGAAAUCCAUCAAUCCCUACAGAGCUUAUUCUAGCACACACGGCACCGGGAGUAUGCUCCUUCGUGCUGGGAGGAAGAGGAGCCAGCACGGCCACGCAGCACCAAUCAGGACAACUACAAAGGAGGGGACUUGCACUGUCCAUCCACUUCCUGAAAGCGGAACGGAAAUGGCUACACUUGAGAGAAAGCAUCUGCUGCACACGUGACGUGUACACAGAACACGGGUCUGGAGGCAGCCACCUCCUGGAUUUCUACUGAAUGACUUCGUCAUGUGACAGCCCAGCUUCGUCACUGUUUCUGACCUACAACGACUGCAAGAAAUACCUGCUCCCACGACGCACAUUCCGGAUAAAUGUCAGCCACCGCAGGGCGGUGUGGGGCAUGAGUCUUGCAGCCAGAAGCCCUCUGCACACCAGCCACAUGCCUGCCAUACACCUUGACUCUGCCUCAGCUUCCUCUAUGCCUUACCAGGUGUUUGUAAGGACUGGGAAGAUAAUAAUAAAUGCUGUUCUAGCACAACAUCUUAAACAGUGUAAACCCAAUAAAUGGUUAUUUCUUUUGCUCCUUAUGUCACGUUGUUACCUGGAAUGGGGAACAGCACUGUCACAGAAUCUUAGAUAUAGAAAUGCAUAGCUAAGCAAACGACAGCUUUGUGGGCACUUGUUAAGCAUCAGCUGUCCUAGGGUUGCUACAGCAUAUAGUAGUCCCUGGUCCUUGUCGCUGCUACUUCUUCCUUGGAAGACAGAAGACUCCCGCCAGUGGGGUCCUGCCUUGUACGUUGUUCACACUGCCCCGUCAGUGCUGCCAUCUGUCAAGGGGGUCUCCCAAGCACCUGGGCUCAGGGCCAAGGCCUCAGAACGUUUCCUGUGGGACGCAGUGGCCACAGUGCACCCAACACGCCAAUGCAUGCCCCAGCUCCUGGUGCACUCCCAAUGCCUCUGAGAGCUUAACACAGACCCUUAACAGGGUUUUGAACUUUGUACACUCUCUCUUAUAGGGGCUUAUUUAAAUAACUGAGCAAGCAAAAUUGGUUGAUUCACCAGGCAGCACCUGAUACGCUGACCUACAUCCUGCUGAUACUAACAGGAUUCAACGUCCGAGCCAGGUGACAAGGAGCAGUAAUGUCCCAGCUGGCACUGUCAGGAGGUCUGCCUGGGAGAACGGUGCUGCAGAAGAAAGCCCAAGUCUCUCAAGCUCUCUGACUUAAUUCAACGUUGUCAAGACGUCUCUCUCUUUUUCUUUUUAGGUCGCACUGACAAAGAUGAACAGAGCCUACGGGUUUUUUUUUUUUUUUUUUUUUUUAAA